rnacentral:ncRNA from 1 species
UUUAACGAGAGUUUGAUCCUGGCUCAGGAUGAACGCUGGCGGCGUGCCUAACACAUGCAAGUCGAACGAAGCGCCUGGCCCCGACUUCUUCGGAACGAGGAGCCUUGCGACUGAGUGGCGGACGGGUGAGUAACGCGUGGGCAACCUGCCUUGCACUGGGGGAUAACAGCCAGAAAUGGCUGCUAAUACCGCAUAAGACCGAAGCGCCGCAUGGCGCGGCGGCCAAAGCCCCGGCGGUGCAAGAUGGGCCCGCGUCUGAUUAGGUAGUUGGCGGGGUAACGGCCCACCAAGCCGACGAUCAGUAGCCGACCUGAGAGGGUGACCGGCCACAUUGGGACUGAGACACGGCCCAGACUCCUACGGGAGGCAGCAGUGGGGAAUAUUGCACAAUGGGGGAAA